UACAGAGGGUGCGAGCGUUAAUCGGAAUUACUGGGCGUAAAGCGCACGUAGGUGGCGACGUAAGUCGGGUGUGAAAGCCCCGGGCUCAACCUGGGAAUUGCAUUCGAGACUGCAUUGCUGGAGUACGGAAGAGGAAGGCGGAAUUCCCGGUGUAGCGGUGAAAUGCGUAGAUAUCGGGAGGAACAUCAGUGGCGAAGGCGGCCUUCCGGUCCAGUACUGACACUCAAGUGCGAAAGCGUGGGGAGCAAACAGG
rnacentral:rRNA from 1 species